rnacentral:lncRNA from 1 species
CGACCGGCCAGGAAAGAACGCAACAAACCGGAAUCUUCUGCGGCAAAGCUUUAUUGCUUACAUCUUCAGGAGCCAGAGAGCAAGAGAGCAAGAGUGCAAGAGAGAGAAAAAGAACAAGAACAAGAAAGCAAGAGAACAAGAACAAGAAAGCAAGAGAAAGAAUGGCAAAACCCCGUCCCUUUUAAGGAGAAUUAUCCUCCGCCUAGGACGUAUUACUCCCUGAUUGGCUGCAGCCCAUCGGCUCAGUUGUCAUCACGAGAAAGGCAGAACACAUGGCGGGAAAACUGCCCCUGCACGUGUGCAGAUUAUGUUUACCACUUAGAACACAGCUGUCAGCGCCAUCUUAUAAUGGCGAAUGUGAGGGCGGCUUCCCACAG